rnacentral:tRNA from 1 species
ACGCCGAUGGUGAAACGGUUAUCAUGCUUGCCUUCCAUGCGAUACAUGUGUAGCAAGCGGUAGGGGUUCGACUCCCCUUCGGCGUA